AAUUUAUCAAUAUACAUUUUUGCGCUGUUACUUUGUCUAUAGAGUGUCCAUAUGUCAUUUUUGUUUUUCUUUGUUGAAAUAGUUAUUUGUUUUUUCAUGUUUUAUAUAGUGAUUAAGAUUAUAACAUAAUGUUGACUGCUAUACCCCAAUUUUUUACAUGUUUACCUAUUAUGUUUGUUUGGUUUGCUCACACAUUGCUGUCAAUAAAAGGGAAUUAUAUGUGACUUCCAUACAAGUCAGAGGUUUAGCUAGCUAUAAGGCAUGGUCCACCAUUUUCCACAUAAGGAAAUGCCUGUACCAUGUCAUUCGUUUGAUGUGUUUGGGCUUUUGAUUUUGUCAAUUGGUGAGGGAAUUUCCGUUUUGGGUUUUCCUUGGAGUUUAACAUUUAUUUAUUUUUACUUUUUUAUAACAUAAAAAUAUUAAGAUAAGGUCUGAUUACCAAUGAAGAAACUAUCCACCAGAGACAAAAUGACAUAGAUGUAAUCAUACUUACAUUACCCUAUAGCAUUCAACAAUGAAAAAUACUCAUACUGCAUUGAAAGCUAUAAAAGGGUUCGACUUGACAAAUGUAGAAUAGUUCAAAACUAACAAACAUGACUAACGGCAUGUCAUUAUUUAUGAACAAAAGCAGAUGAAUUAACUUUAUACAGCAACAAACGACAACCAAUGAAAUUCAGGCUCAUGAUUUUGGUACAGACACGCAGCGAAUAUUGCUUGUUUAUGGAUACCCAACACACCCCAAACCUGGGAAAGUGGUGUUAAACUGCAACAUACCUACUUAAAAGCGCUGUUCAUUUGCUUUUUAUGUUUUUGCAGUGCAUGUAAUGAAUUUGUGUUCUGGAUGUAUACCCUAUAUUCUCUUUAUUAUGUAAAAACUAACUGUAAAAACCAGUUGAAAAGGAAUUAACUCAUCGGAGUGAUAGAAAGCUAAGAAAACAACUAACAAUAAAACAAAUAUAAAGAAAGAAAGUAACAAUCAGAGAGUCACAAGUGUAUUUACUUCACUUCAUUACAUGCCAAUUUGUCAAUUUUGACCGACUUUAAACAGAUUUACUUCUUAAACAUUUGUUCGAGGUAACUAUGUGUGUACCCUUAUACACUACUGGAACCUUCUUAAAUAGAAUAUAGGAACAAUCAUUAGUGGUAUAAUAAAGAUUAAUCAGAAUCUAAAACGUGUGGUUUAUCGGGACAAUUAAUAAAAUAUCUUGGUCAAACUUUUCUCAAACAGAGAGUAAACAAUCUGCUAAAACAUUGAUUCAUAUAAAAAGUUUACCGAAAUAAGUAAAGGCAAAAACGCACGUGAUUUAGAAAUUAAGCUCUGUCCAGGAGUUAAACAUGACAAAGUACACACAUUAAAUUGUAACCCUUAAAAUACUAUAUUGGCCUUUCCUCUAUGCCACUUAUUUCACGCCAUUACAAUGUAUAUGUAGAGCAAAAUUCUGAAUGAAAUAAAAUACAAGGCAAAAACAAUUUUUCAACCUAAUAAGCUAAACAUGGCAAGCUUUUUAAAAAUGCUAUUACUUGUAUGUCAUUAACAUUUACUUAUCAUUCUGGUUCAAUGACUUUUUAUUACACUGCGUAUCUUGUUAUCAAUCUAUAUAUUCUGUUUUGUAUUAAAAUAAUUUGGAAUAAUUGCAAGCUUUACACUGAUGUCAACGAGAAAAAUUUAUCUGACCAUGACAACAUUUUAUUAGAUCACUGAUACCGUUAAACUAAUUCUAUACAUGUAAUAGAACGACCUGAUGUUUGAUCUCAAAUACUUUCAAACUAAAAUUAGAUCAGAAUCAGAAAAGAAUGCUAGACAUUGUAGCGUGUGCACUCUUGAUCUAUAACCGAGUUUUAUUUAUUUUUAACAUUUAAUGUAUUAAAUUGUUAUUUCAUCUCGUUUUGAUACCAUAUAAUUAUAGAUAUCAAAUAAUUCUCAGCUUGAUUUCGCUCACAUCUUUCUUUUAAAUUUUAAGUUAUCAGAAAGAGAAUUAACAUGUUUAAUUUAGUUUAAAGCAUAUGAGAUCGUUCAAAGCAGUGUAGUUUAUUUAGUAACUACAGCUAGUACAUGUACAGCUAUAAUUUCUUAGAUAAUAAUUGAAAUGUUGAUAUCAUUUAGAUUAUUUACCAAUAGAUGCGUUUUGCCUGAAGUUAGUAAUUACUGAAUCCGGUUACAGAUUUGAUACUGAAAACUGCAAGAGUAAAUUGUAUUCAUUAUGUUAUAAGCGACAGCACACAUCUAGCGAGAGGAAUGAUGAGGCUUACACAACAACUUGUUUGUCUCAUAUGAAUAGUUCAACAGUGCCACGAUACACGUUCAGCGAAGUUGCAGAUAACCAGGCUAACAAAACUGUAUCAGCUGCAGUUAAUAAUUCAACAGAAAACUACGUUAAAUAUUUAUGCAGCGUCCAUUGUCUCGUUUUGGGUGUUAUCAUUGCAAGCACAACGUUUUGCAUCAAGCGCCGGUCAAGACAGAAGCUCUUCACUUCAUUCAUACUUCCACAACCACAGAUUUAUUCGGAAAUUUACACAAAUAAGUACGAUAAAAUCACAGACUUGGACAUGCCCCAAAAUCUUGACGACGAUGGAUAUGAAAUGCCGCGGUUGGCUUAAAUAACAUCACUUGGAUGGACAAACUCAGAUGGUCGUUGUUAAACUUUAGUUACAAACUAAAUACUUGUUUUCUUGCGUCAACGCAUAAACCAUUAUAGUUUUGUAACGCCGCAUAUUUCUUUCAAUACUAGUUUAACCUUUCCAAAAAGUAUGGGGUGCUUCGCAGAAUCAUAAAUUGCCGUCAGCUGUUGUUCUGUGUUGCUGUUUUGAUUUUUUUGUUCGUUAAUUAGAGAAAACGACGACAGUUUAAUUUUUUUGACGUACUUAUUUCGGAUACUUUUAUUUGAGUUUCUGCUUCAAUAUUAUUUGUAAUAUUUUUUUAAACACAUUGGAUCUAACACGGGAGAUGUUCUGUUCUGAGGUUCACAAACACGUAACUGUUUAAGGAAAAUGUUAUAUAAAAUGGUUAAACUGAACAAUUUAAGUUUUCAUUAGGCGAAGAAAUUUAUUUUCGGAUCUCUUGUAACAUGUUUCCCUAUAAAUUGAUUCUUUAAAUUUACCAUGUUUGGAGGAUUACACCUACAAUGUAGACGACAUGUAUAUUGUUUUUGUUCGACGGGGGUUUUAUAAAGUGUUGUUUUGACCCAUACUUUCUAAAAUGUAUAAUGUAAUAGUUUGAUAAUUCAAUUUUAACAAAUAAAUACAUAAUAGUUACAUAUCAGUGAGCAUCGAGUCACCCAACGUAAUAGUGAACAGAGAUAUAUAAUUACAUAUAAAAAUAAGAAGAUGUGGUAUAUAAUUAAAAGCAACAGUAGUAUACCGGUGUUGAAAAGUCAUAAAUCGAUUGAGAGAUAACAAUUCCAGGUUACAGACUAAAACCGAGGGAAACACAUCAACUAUAAGAGGAAAACAAAGGAACAACAGGAACACUGAAGUGCAACAAAAACAAACGCCAACAUACAUAGAAACGAACUUGGUAUAAUAUUUAAUGAGACAACUCUCCACAAGAGACCAAAUGACACAGAAAUUAACAACUAUAGGUCACCGUACGGCCUUCAACAAUGAGCAAAACCCAUGCCACAUGUAUGGAAUGAUUUAUGAUAUGAUAUUUAAAACAUAUAAAUCAUACAUCGGUAGUAAUGCGAGUAAAUAAAUCGUGUUAUUAGAAGCAUAUUUAUCGAUCGAAUCAACCUAAAUUCCGACAAUUCAAUACUACCGUUCCAACUAAAUAUUACACGUAUAAUUCGUGAACCAAUCAGAACUAACUGUUAUUUAGUAAUAAUUUCAAAAUGGGAGCAUAUGCGACGCAAUAGUUUUGAUUUUAAAGGACAGAAAAGAAAAGCUUUAUCUUACAGCUAUAUAUCAUACUUUAUCGUUUAAAACUACAAUAUGAAUGAAAGGUUCCUCAGAAAUACCCCAAAACAGAAGCAAGAUGUACAAUGGUUUAUAACUAAGUAAAACAAAAAAUCUUUUCAACUUAAAGAAGCAUAAAACAAUGAUUAAGUCAAUCCCAGAUUGCGUAAAUUGAAAUAUUUUACAAUUUUGUCAAAGAAACAAAGUUGGUGUGUUUAUUUUCAUCAAGCAAGUUUUUUCUUUUGUAUAUCAUUCUCAAUAUCCAUUUAAUAAGAGCCAAGGUCUCUGCUGGUGUCACGAUAUAUAAAUGUUUGCUCUGUAUAAACAAUUUUAUAGUGGAAUAUGCAGUAGACAGGGGUUUUGAGUAUAGUAUGCAUACAUUUGAUAGUUGCUUGAAUAAUAGAUACAAGACGUAAUAAUAGGCAUGAAUGUUUACGAAAGUAUUGAAUUUACGAUUUUUUUUUAAUGACCAAAUAAAAGCACCUUGACCACUAAAACAAACGGGGUAAAUUAAUUUGUUG